UAGCGACACGUUACGGAGAGGACUGUGAGAGACCCUGCAGUCAUAACUGUAUAAACGGAACCUGUCAUGCAAACAACGGAACAUGUACCUUAGGUUGUGAUGGAAAUUACUUUGAUGCGAAAUGUCAAAAUGCUUUGUAUGAUGGCAGCUAUAUUUCGAAUUCUAAACAGGCUAUUUAUAUCGGUUCUGUAACUGGGGUCGUCGGCUCUCUUUUAGUUGUAAUGGUACUAAUACAUUUUUUCAGAUCAAGAAAAAGAGAAAAUAUUUACUCAACAUCUGGUGUUGCAUAUAAGGAAAAUAAUUAUG